CUCUUCUCUCAUCAAACCAAUUGGUUUAGAUGAGAGCAUCUCUCUUUCUCUUUGGUGUACCAUCUUUAUCCAUUGCAGCCACGAUCUCCCCCUUUCUCACAUUCUUCAUCAGAAACCCCUUUUUUCUAUUUUCAUUUUGAUCAUCACCACUACCAAACGUGAUCGCCAAAACCAGUCUUCUCUGUGUGUGUGUGUGUGUGUGUCUCUCUCUCUCUCUUUGUGAUUUGCAUCACCACCACCAGCGUUGAUCACCAAUCUUCGAGUUCAAUGAAACUCCAGUGUUUAACCGAGCACCACUGUUUAGACUUUGAUGGAGCUCGAUUGAUCUGGGAAUGAGCCCUAGAAGUCGAUGAAGAAGAAGCCCUAGAGGUUGAUGGAGGUUGAGAUAAACAACAAGUUCAUCAAUCAUGGUAUAAUCCAGAUGUACACACACCACCUCAAACCUUUCUGGAUUUCCAAACCUUCUACACUGUUUCACAAAUAAUAGUGUUGAUGAUGAGUGAAUUAGAUAUGCCUGCAAUCUACCAAUCUAUAGGAACAAAACUUGCAACAACCUGCAGCAAAACUUGGGUUGGCUUGGACUCUAGUGAGCAAUUGGUUACCAAACAGAGUUCUUCGUUACUCUCCUCUUCUGCGUUGGUGGCAGAGGCUCGUGCUUGCUAGAGUGCUGUGAGAUGGUGUUUCCUCAGUGGCGUGAAAUCCAUUACGGUGCUUACUGACAGUCAAAACUUAGUCUGGUAGCUCAAUGGUUUUCACAGAGCUAGUUGGGAUAUUGUUGACAUUGUUGAUGAUAUUAAAAGUAUGUCUAGGUGUUUUGAUUUUCUUAGUAUUGUUAAGGUACCACGUUUGUUUGUUACUGCUGCCCAUUUGGAAGCAAAGGCAGUAGUCUUAUAGUGUAAUCCUAACUGUGUAACUUUUUAUUUUUGUUUAAUAUAUUGCUAUUAAGUUCCUCAAAUAUAUAUAUAUAUAUAUAUAAACAUAUUUAUGGAAAAUAUUGGAUUCAAAGAUCUCAACUCUUUGCCAUAGUUCACAGAUCUAUUAACUUAGAUUUAAGUUAUGUCCUUUCGUAAAGACAAUUCAGUGAGGAGCCAAUUUUCCAUCCAAAAAAAAAAAAGAAAAUUAUACUGUAAUUUAGAGCUUCUCCAUUGCAUUAGAGG